rnacentral:rRNA from 1 species
AGAGUUUGAUCAUGGCUCAGAUUGAACGCUGGCGGCAGGCCUAACACAUGCAAGUCGAGCGGUAGCACAGAGAGCUUGCUCUCGGGUGACGAGCGGCGGACGGGUGAGUAAUGUCUGGGAAACUGCCUGAUGGAGGGGAAUAACUACUGGAAACGGUAGCUAAUACCGCAUAACGUCGCAAGACCAAAGUGGGGGACCUUCGGGCCUCAUGCCAUCAGAUGUGCCCAGAUGGGAUUAGCUAGUAGGUGGGGUAACGGCUCACCUAGGCGACGAUCCCUAGCUGGUCUGAGAGGAUGACCAGCCACACUGGAACUGAGACACGGUCCAGACUCCUACGGGAGGCAGCAGUGGGGAAUAUUGCACAAUGGGCGCAAGCCUGAUGCAGCCAUGCCGCGUGUGUGAAGAAGGCCUUCGGGUUGUAAAGCACUUUCAGCGGGGAGGAAGGCGUUAAGGUUAAUAACCUUGGCGAUUGACGUUACCCGCAGAAGAAGCACCGGCUAACUCCGUGCCAGCAGCCGCGGUAAUACGGAGGGUGCAAGCGUUAAUCGGAAUUACUGGGCGUAAAGCGCACGCAGGCGGUCUGUCAAGUCGGAUGUGAAAUCCCCGGGCUCAACCUGGGAACUGCAUUCGAAACUGGCAGGCUAGAGUCUUGUAGAGGGGGGUAGAAUUCCAGGUGUAGCGGUGAAAUGCGUAGAGAUCUGGAGGAAUACCGGUGGCGAAGGCGGCCCCCUGGACAAAGACUGACGCUCAGGUGCGAAAGCGUGGGGAGCAAACAGGAUUAGAUACCCUGGUAGUCCACGCCGUAAACGAUGUCGAUUUGGAGGUUGUGCCCUUGAGGCGUGGCUUCCGGAGCUAACGCGUUAAAUCGACCGCCUGGGGAGUACGGCCGCAAGGUUAAAACUCAAAUGAAUUGACGGGGGCCCGCACAAGCGGUGGAGCAUGUGGUUUAAUUCGAUGCAACGCGAAGAACCUUACCUGGUCUUGACAUCCACAGAACUUUCCAGAGAUGGAUUGGUGCCUUCGGGAACUGUGAGACAGGUGCUGCAUGGCUGUCGUCAGCUCGUGUUGUGAAAUGUUGGGUUAAGUCCCGCAACGAGCGCAACCCUUAUCCUUUGUUGCCAGCGGUUCGGCCGGGAACUCAAAGGAGACUGCCAGUGAUAAACUGGAGGAAGGUGGGGAUGACGUCAAGUCAUCAUGGCCCUUACGACCAGGGCUACACACGUGCUACAAUGGCAUAUACAAAGAGAAGCGACCUCGCGAGAGCAAGCGGACCUCAUAAAGUAUGUCGUAGUCCGGAUUGGAGUCUGCAACUCGACUCCAUGAAGUCGGAAUCGCUAGUAAUCGUAGAUCAGAAUGCUACGGUGAAUACGUUCCCGGGCCUUGUACACACCGCCCGUCACACCAUGGGAGUGGGUUGCAAAAGAAGUAGGUAGCUUAACCUUCGGGAGGGCGCUUACCACUUUGUGAUUCAUGACUGGGGUGAAGUCGUAACAAGGUAACCGUAGGGGAACCUGCGGUUGGAUCACCU